rnacentral:rRNA from 1 species
CCCUUAGAUGUUCUGGGCUGCACGCGCGCGACAAUGACGUUUGCAACGAGAUUGCGAGGCCGUCAGGUCGAGCUGAUCUUGCAAGCUGCGUCGUGAUAGGGACAGUCGAUUGCAAUUAUUCGACUCGAACGAGGAAUUCCUUGUAAUCGCGCAUCAUCAGUGCGCGCUGAAUACGUCCCUGCCCUUUGUACACACCGCCCGUCGCUCCUACCGAUUGAGUGAUCCGGUGGAUGUUUUGGAUCGGCUUCAAGUUGGUUCGCGCCUCUUGCUUGCUGUGAAAUCAUGUAAACCUUAUUGCUUAGAGGAAGGAGAAGUCGUAACA